rnacentral:rRNA from 1 species
CCCUAGAGCGGGGGAUAACAUUCCGAAAGGAGUGCUAAUACCGCAUAAGACCACGUCCUCGAAAGAGGAUGAGGUUAAAGCAGGCCUCUUCAUGAAAGCUUGCACUCUAGGACGAGCCCGCGGCCCAUCAGCUAGUUGGUAGGGUAAUGGCCUACCAAGGCUAAGACGGGUAGCUGGUCUGAGAGGAUGAUCAGCCACACUGGAACUGAGACACGGUCCAG